GACGAACGCUGGCGGCGUGCCUAACACAUACAAGUCGAACGGAAAACAUAGCAAUAUGUUUUUAGUGGCGAACGGGUGAGUAACGCGUAGACAACCAACCUUUUUGUGGGGGACAACACUUCGAAAGGAGUGCUAAUACCGCAUACGCUCCAGAUGCCGCCUGGUGUUUGGAGGAAAGGAGCUGUAAGGCUUCGCAAAAAGACGGGUCUGCGUCUGAUUAGCUAGUUGGGGGGGUAACGGCCCACCAAGGCGACGAUCAGUAGCCGGUCUGAAGGGAGGGACGGCCACACGGGGACUGAGACACGGCCCAGACUCCUACGGGAGGCAGCAGUGGGGAAGCUUCCGCAAUGGACGAAAGUCUGACGGAGCGACGCCGCGUGAGUGAUGAAGGCCCUUGGGUCGUAAAGCUCUGUCAUCAGGGACGAACGGUCACGUCAGGAAAUGGGCGUGAAUUGACGGUACCUGAGAAGGAAGCCACGGCUAACUACGUGCCAGCCGCCGCAGUA
rnacentral:rRNA from 1 species